UACAGAGGGUGCAAGCGUUAGUCGGAAUUACUGGGCGUAAAGCGUGCGUAGACGGUUAUGUAAGUCGGGGGUGAAAGCCCCGGGCUCAACCUGGGAAUUGCAUUCGAGACUGCGUAGCUAGGGUGCGGAAGAGGGAAGCGGAAUUUCCGGUGUAGCGGUGAAAUGCGUAGAUAUCAAGUGGAACACCAGUGGCGAAGGCGAGUCUCUGGACAUUUCCUGACGCUGAGGCACGAAAGCCAGGGGAGCAAACGGG
rnacentral:rRNA from 1 species